rnacentral:rRNA from 1 species
UACAGAGGGUGCGAGCGUUAAUCGGAAUUACUGGGCGUAAAGGGCGCGUAGGCGGCCUUCUAAGUCGAACGUGAAAUCCCCGGGCUCAACCUGGGAACUGCAUUUGUGACUGCAUCGCUGGAGUGCGGCAGAGGGGGAUGGAAUUCCGCGUGUAGCAGUGAAAUGCGUAGAUAUUCGGAAGAACACCAGUGGCGAAGGCGGGUCUCUGGGCCGAUACUGACGCUGAGGAGCGAAAGCAUGGGUAGCGAAC